rnacentral:rRNA from 1 species
GACGUAGGGCGCGAGCGUUGUCCGGAUUUAUUGGGCGUAAAGAGCUCGUAGGCGGCUCGUUGCGUCGGCUGUGAAAACCCGCAGCUCAACUGUGGGCUUGCAGCUGAUACGGGCGGGCUGGGAUUCGGUAGGGGAGACUGGAAUUCCUGGUGUAGCGGUGAAAUGCGCAGAUAUCAGGAGGAAUACCCGUGGCGAAGGCGGUCCACUGGGCAUCAACUGACGCUGAGGCGCGAAAGCGUGGGUAGCAAACAGG